UACGUAUUGUCAAUUUACACCUGGUACCUUUUCAGUAUUUUACUGUUUCUGUUUAACUGAAACCCCUAGCCAUUCAUUUCCUUCGUCUUGCAAUAAACAAGUGGACUAACAAGAUGCAUUAUCUGAUUAUCAUGAGAAAUUAUACUUUGAAGCUAAGGCACAGUAGAAAAUAGUUAAUUUUCUUGAACAGAUUUUCGUGGGUCCAUUUGCUGCCUCGGCACUAAGUUUUUUCCUUUUGAUUGAAGCCUUUAACCUAUGCAUUUUAUGUCACUUUUAUUAUAUGUGAUCUUAUUUGAUGUGUUGGUUUUGUGUCAAAUAGUUGACAGGGCACACAUCAAGUUGCCUCAAACUAUGAUAUGCACUAAAUAUAAACCUGUCGAUGCCAUACCAUUCUAUUUCCUUCUCUAUCAUGGUUGUAAAUUUCUUAUGUCGCUCUCAUACUGCACCUUCCAUUGAAGCAUUACGAUUGCUGGAGAUAUGGAAACCUAUUUCAGAGCAAUAAAUAACGGUUACCCUAGUUUUUUUUUAAGUGAACACACAAACAAGCAUUUGCAGAUUUUUUCAUUAAGCAGGGCAGCAGCAAAAAUACAAGAGUUUGGCACCUAACCGAGAUCUGCAAGGUCCCUAGUUACCCAUAGUGGUUCGCACAACCGAUAGUUGAAAGCCUGCUGGCAACGCUCCGCUUCAGCCUUGAUUGUCGUUUGCCAAAGCCAAUAGGUCCUUGCUUCUCCCCUUGAAAGACCCUUCUGCUGCGCUCCUGUCAAAUAGACCAUACAUUGAGGGCAACCAACGAGUUAAACUCCCUUUAGCGCUUCGGGGUGGUUUAUGCGCAGUCAGUCACCAGUCCUCUAAAGAGUUCGCUACCGCAGGGAUAUCCAAACUGGGACCAGGUCAGUCAGAGGAAAACACGACGCUUUAAAGGCGUGCGGGUCCAGGCAGGGGGGUGGGGGGGAGUGGUGGACCUUGGUUUGGUCCUGCCGGGCGUGUAGUGCAUUGAGUUGUAACCGUGGCUGUAGCCCUUUUUUGGUCUUGUACAUAAUUUUCUCUUCAAUCAAUCCACCGAGAAGCAAGCUUUGUGUUUUCUCGAAAAAAAAGGCAUGCGGGUCUUCCAGACGGUUUUGUGGCAGGGGAAGGUGGUGCCACCGAACAAGAAAGCUUUGUAUGCCAACUGCGCUGAGUAUGUCCAAUCUGUGGACCAGCACCCGAUCACCACAUUCUCCUGGCCAACCAUGAGAGCAGACCCAGGCAAGCCCUUCCAAUGCUUGAGCCACCGUCCUAGAUGCACAAACCUUGGGAGAACUUGCUAGCAUUAGUUUCUGGCCCAAUGCAGCAGCAAACACUCCAGCAGCUCAUUGACCGGCUCGAGGUGCGACUUUUAUGUGGGAGAAACAGACCACCAUGUCAUCGGCAUAGUGCAACAUGUGGUACCAAAUGUCUCUGUGGUCCAGCGGCUGGAGGUUGCUGGAGGAGUCCACUCUCUGAAACAUGGUAUUGAGCACCUCUAUUGUGAGGAUGAAAAACAUAGGGGACAUUAUUACCCUAGAUUUAAUUUACUCCUGCUAAGGUUUUUAAUCUACUUUAUCUCACAUUCUCAUUAUUUAUUUAUUGCUGUCAUGAUUUUUUCCACUGCACAAAGUAAUGUUGCCAACUAGGUUUCACUGAACGGCAGUAACUUUCACAGAAUGUCCAUCAGUCCUUCCAGUACUGUACCCAACAAUGUA